UGGUGAAGCUGACAAGAAGGGUAAGAGAAAGGUUACCUAUUUCACUUUCUUGCACACACCCUUCUAUCUUCUACCCUUCCCUGAACUUCUGCCUGGCACGGAGCAGCAGAGGCACAGAAUAUGAGGAACAACAAAGGAUGUGAAAACCCGACAGAAGACCAGAUUUUCAGAAAUGCGGAAGGUGCCGUGUUCAGGCAGCCUCCCACAGGCGUGCUCCGCGAUGCAGGGGACGUGGGUGUCGCUCGAGAACUUCCGGAGCACCCGCUGACGCUGACAGGCCGGGGAGAAAUGGGAAUUAUGCACUCUGGAAACCCUGGGGACAUGACAGUUAACUCGUUUACAUUGAAAGUUGAACAGAUCUGCCCCAAGUAACAGAUAAACAUAUUGACACAGAUUGUAAA